rnacentral:rRNA from 1 species
UUCCAGACUCCUACGGGAGGCAGCAGUGGGGAAUAUUGCACAAUGGGGGGAACCCUGAUGCAGCGACGCCGCGUGGGUGAAGGAGUGUUUCGGUAUGUAAAGCCCUAUCAGCAGGGAAGAACAAUGACGGUACCUGACUAAGAAGCACCGGCUAAAUACGUGCCAGCAGCCGCGGUAAUACGUAUAGUGCAAGCGUUAUCCGGAUUUACUGGGUGUAAAGGGAGCGCAGGCGGCGCGUUAAGCCUGGUGUGAAAGCCCGCGGCCCAACCGCGGGACUGCAUUGGGAACUGGCGCGCUGGAGUGCCGGAGGGGUAGGCGGAAUUCCUAGUGUAGCGGUGAAAUGCGUAGAUAUCAGGAGGAACACCGGUGGCGAAGGCGGCCUGCUGGACUGCAACUGACGUUGAGGCCCGAAAGCGUGGGGAGCAAACAGGAUUAGAUACCCGAGUAAG